CCUACGGGUGGCAGCAGUGAGGAAUAUUGGUCAAUGGUCGGGAGACUGAACCAGCCAAGCCGCGUGAGGGAUGAAGGUACAGAGUAUCGUAAACCUCUUUUGUCAGGGAACAAAGGCGGGGACGUGUCCCCUGAUGAGUGUACCUGAAGAAAAAGCAUCGGCUAACUCCGUGCCAGCAGCCGCGGUAAUACGGAGGAUGCGAGCGUUAUCCGGCUUUAUUGGGUUUAAAGGGUGCGCAGGCGGUCUGUUAAGUCAGCGGUCAAAGCCCGGGGCUCAACCCCUGCACGCCGUUGAAACUGGCAGACUCGAGUUGGAGAGAGGUAUGCGGAAUGCGCGGUGUAGCGGUGAAAUGCAUAGAGAUCGCGCAGAACUCCGAUUGCGAAGGCAGCAUGCCGGCUCCACACUGACGCUGAGGCACGAAAGCGUGGGUAUCGAACAGGAUUAGAUACCCCGGUAGUC
rnacentral:rRNA from 1 species